UUCCGUUCGCGGACUUUGGCCCAGGCGCGUGGGCGCUGCCGAGAGGCUGGGAGCCCGGGAACCGGUUCCUGGACUUGAGCGGAGCGAGAAAGAGCGCGCCGCCUGCACGACUGGACUGGAGCGGCCGGGUGCCCUGGAGGCCCCUGGGAAUUGCAGUCCUUGCGCAGAUGAGAAAACUCAAGACUCAGAAACAAUAAAGGUUACAGAGAUGAAAUUGACAGAGCCUGAAUUUCAGGUUAUGAUUCUGUAUGGUUUCUUUGGUGCUGCAUUAGACCUGAGCUCUGAUUGAAAAUUCUUCCACGCUCGCUACAUUCCAAAACUUUAUCUCCAAUAUGAAUUUCCAGAUGCCUCACAAGGUCUGAGCUCCAUCUGAAGGCUUUCCCAUGCUUGUCACAUUCAUAGGGCUUUUCUCCACUAUGAAUUCUAUGAUGUCGAAUAAAGUGUGAGCUCUGAUUACAAAAAAAAAAAAAAAAAA
rnacentral:lncRNA from 1 species